rnacentral:rRNA from 1 species
GCGGAGUGGGUGCUGGUGGGGGGGGUGAGACGUGGGGGGCGAGGGGUGGUGGGGGUUGCGGGGCGGAAGGGGGGUGUGGGGGGUUGUUUAGGGUGGUGGUGAAAUGUCCCGGCUCAAGGGGGAGGGUGCGCCGAAUACUGAAUGACUAGAGUGCGGGAGAGGAGAGUGGAAGUCCUGGUGUAGCGGUGAAAUGCGUAGAUAUCAGGAGGAACACCGGUGGUGUAGACGGCUCUCUGGACCGUAACUGACGCUGAGACACGAAAGCGUGGGUAGCAAACAGGAUUAGAUACCCUUGUAGUC